GGGGUAGAGUUCUUCGGAACUUGAGACCGGCGCACGGGUGCGUAACGCGUAUGCAAUCUACCUUUUACAGAGGGAUAGCCCAGAGAAAUUUGGAUUAAUACCUCAUAGUAUAUAGCCCUGGCAUCAGGAUUAUAUUAAAGUCACAACGGUAAAAGAUGAGCAUGCGUCCCAUUAGCUAGUUGGUAAGGUAACGGCUUACCAAGGCUACGAUGGGUAGGGGUCCUGAGAGGGAGAUCCCCCACACUGGUACUGAGACACGGACCAGACUCCUACGGGAGGCAGCAGUGAGGAAUAUUGGACAAUGGGCGCAAGCCUGAUCCAGCCAUGCCGCGUGCAGGAUGACGGUCCUAUGGAUUGUAAACUGCUUUUAUACGAGAAGAAACACUCCAACGUGUUGGAGCUUGACGGUAUCGUAAGAAUAAGGAUCGGCUAACUCCGUGCCAGCAGCCGCGGUAAUACGGAGGAUCCAAGCGUUAUCCGGAAUCAUUGGGUUUAAAGGGUCCGUANGCGGUUUAAUAAGUCAGUGGUGAAAGCCCAUCGCUCAACGGUGGAACGGCCAUUGAUACU
rnacentral:rRNA from 1 species